rnacentral:rRNA from 1 species
UACGUAGGGUGCAAGCGUUGUCCGGAAUUAUUGGGCGUAAAGAGCUCGUAGGCGGUCUGUCGCGUCGGAUGUGAAAACCCGGAGCUCAACUCCGGGCCUGCAGUCGAUACGGGCAAACUGGAGUGUUGCAGGGGAGACUGGAAUUCCUGGUGUAGCGGUGAAAUGCGCAGAUAUCAGGAAGAACACCCGUGGCUAAGGCGGCUCUCUAGUACGGUACUGACGCUGAGACGCGAAAGCGUGGGGAGCAAACAGG